CUGGACCACCAGGGGGAGCCACGGUCAUGUGUCGUCCUGAGUUUAUUGAUCCACUUUGGUGGGGAAAGAGCACGAAAUCUGAGCUGCUUCCAGUGCUUCAAGGUUCGCAGGGCCAGCCUGUGUCAUCCCAUGGAGUGCCAGCCUAGCGAAAAAGUCUGCGUGAGCAAUGAGGUUCUUCUUUACACGAGUACAAAGAGCAGGACUCAGAUCAGCAAGCGCUGUGCCAUCACUUGUCCCAACUCCAACGAUCUCUUUGAGUGGUCAGUGAAAAAUAUUCAGGCCAGGAUCACCAGACGAUGCUGUUCGUGGGAUCACUGCAACAGAGCACCUGACAGCUGGGAGGGGUUCAGAGCCUUACCAGGGAGGCUCCUGCUGCCAAUGGGUCUGGGCCUCUUCUGCAUCCUGUUGUGA
rnacentral:lncRNA from 1 species